UACGAAGGGGGCUAGCGUUGUUCGGAUUUACUGGGCGUAAAGCGCACGUAGGCGGAUCGUUAAGUCGGGGGUGAAAUCCUGGAGCUCAACUCCAGAACUGCCUUCGAUACUGGCGAUCUUGAGUCCGGAAGAGGUGAGUGGAACUCCUAGUGUAGAGGUGGAAUUCGUAGAUAUUAGGAAGAACACCAGUGGCGAAGGCG
rnacentral:rRNA from 1 species